rnacentral:tRNA from 9 species
GGGCCGGUAGCUCAGUCCGGCAGAGCGUCUGACUCUUAAUCAGACGGUCGCGCGUUCAAAUCGCGUCCGGCCCG